UGAGUAACCUGCCCUUAACUCUGGGAUAAGCCUGGGAAACUGGGUCUAAUACCGGAUAUGACUCCUCAUCGCAUGGGUGGGGGGUGGAAAGCUUUUUGUGGUUUUGGAUGGACUCGCGGCCUAUCAGCUUGUUGGUGAGGUAAUGGCUCACCAAGGCGACGACGGGUAGCUGGUCUGAGAGGAUGGCCAGCCACAGUUGGGACUGUGACACCGGCCCAGACCUCCGUACGGGAGG
rnacentral:rRNA from 1 species